CACUUGAGACUUGAUCCAAAUUCCAUUGAAGUCAGUGGAAAGACUUCCAUUGACUUUAAUGGGCUUUGGAUCAGAUCCU
rnacentral:pre_miRNA from 1 species